rnacentral:lncRNA from 1 species
GAGCCAUUUUCUUAUCAACCUCAUCCCAUUCUAUUUCGAGUUUGGUUGAUUCCAUACCGUCAAUAAUUUUAGUGGGUGUGUGUGAUCCGUUUACUAUGAUACUCCACAUAUCAUAAUCAAGUGCUUGAAUGAAGAUUUUCAUCCGAGCUUUCCAAUUUAUUGUAGUACACAAUAAAUUAUUGACUUUAGUAAUUUUCUAAUUUAUUCUAGUACACAAUAUAAAAUAUUCAUGGCUUUAGCAUUUAGUUGGGUCAUUUUCUUAUCAACCUCAUCCCAAUCUUUUUCGGAUUUAGCUGAUUUCACACCAUCAAUAAUUUUAGUG